rnacentral:rRNA from 1 species
UGUGUAGGCGGUUGUUUAAGUUUGGUGUGAAAUCUCCCGGCUCAACUGGGAGGGUGCGCCGAAUACUGAAUGACUUCGAGUGCGGGAGAGGAGAGUGGAAUUCCUGGUGUAGCGGUGAAAUGCGUAGAUAUCAGGAGGAACACCGGUGGUGUAGGCGGCUCUCUGGACCGUAACUGACGCUGAAACACGAAAGCGUGGGUAGCAAACA